rnacentral:tRNA from 1 species
UACCUAAUCGAUUAAUGGGCAAAUCUUGAACUUUUGGUGUUCACAAUGGGUGUUCGAAUCACCCUUAGGUAA